UCCAAAGGGCAGCCAAGGGCAGUGUGCAGGAGGAAGCCAGGUGGGAGCAGCCACAGGGACAUCGCACUGCCCAGCAGGAGCAUGCGGGCUGCCGUCUCCUGCCUGUCUCUGUAAGCCGGACGUGUCCCUUAGCUUUCCCUUCAAAACAAGUGGUGGACCGAGGCUGGUGAGGCUGUUAGGUGACGUCAAGGACAGUCAGGCCACAACCCUGACUGGCCCCCUCACCCCAGGGCACUGGCACCUCCUUCUGUGUUUGCUCCUUGACCAGCAGGACAAAGGAAACAGCAAUAAGCAAACCAGCCCAGGGCAACGUACACACAAGCAUUCUUGCUGGAGGAGAGACUGACUGGAGGAGAGACUGUCCUUGCAACCCAGCAUUAGAGCCCACACAUAAUUAGCCGUCUUACCGGAGGAGGCCUAUUUAAGAGCUGCUUCCAGGACGGCGGGUAUGCAAAUGAGGCAGACUGCACCCUCCGCCCCUUACAGUCAGACAAUGGGCCUUAUUGUCCCCAGACAGACUAAUAGGCUCUGUGACAGGCAGGGCAGCGUUGCAGAUGCUGGCUUGGAAGCGCUCUUUGACUGCAGGAGAUUAGAGGGAGGCGCCUUUGCCACACUUCCCUUGUUCCAAGAUGCUCCGGCAAUUCACUCACCUACUCUUCAUGGCAACAAGUAUGUCGUCCACAUGAGAAAUUGAGAAAUUGCAGAAGUAGGUUUAUCACCAUCAUCUUUUCCAGUUCAGAUCAAACUGAGUUUCACACAAGUUGCCCCUCUUCUAAAAUCUCUUGAAUGAUUAAAUGGCUAAUUAAGCCAAAGGUGGGCUGAAAUUUUAACAUCAACUUCCAAAUCAAGUGGUUUUGCUAAUACCGACAGACAGACGCACACGUCCAGUGUGACCUGUGUGCACAGAUAGAUGUGUAGGUGUCACCAGUGCCUGCCCGACGUCCUGCCCACCUUCAAGGCCUGGGCACUGCUGGGCUGAGCCUCCCACCAGGUGUCUCACUACUACCUGCAGGGGUCCACAAGAGUGUCCAGAUCUGCCAUCUUCCCCAAAGUCUGGGGGGAAUCAUAUCGUUGCCAGAGCCGCUGGUGUUCUCCUGGCAUCCGAGAACAGCAAGUGCUGUGUGAGGGGCAGGGGCUGCAUGGAGGAGGGCCACCAUGUGUCCCCCUGACCCUGAGGAUCUGCGGUGAGCGUGGGCUCCCUGGGGCAGGGUGCGGCUCUAGAGGUCCUUGACCACAGAGGACAGGGAGGGCUGGGUGCCUGGAGCUGCAGAGCCUCCGCAUCAGACAGAAGCAGAACCUCAGGCAGGACAGCUGCCCCCGAGGCUGCCCAGCAGGUUAGAGCUGAAGGAGGUAAAGCCCGUGUGCAGAGGGCGGCACCCGGGCCUUCCGCGGCCAAACUCCUGACGCGGGCAUGUUUGUCUGUGGCUCACACAAGUGACGGGGGACAAGGGCAACGUGACAGGGCCCUUCGGGGGGCCGGCACCUCUGCGGCUUCCUUCUGUUCUGCAGUCACCUGGACCCUUAGGCUCUUCCACCCUGUCUGCCUUUCCAGAGCUUCCUGUGGAGCUGCUGUCUCCCCAUCGGAGCGUGUUCAGGGGCGUUAGACUGCAGGAAGGACUGACAGACCUGAGCAGGUCUCUGCAGCCAGCACCUCUCACACCGAGCAGCUCCCCAGGAGAAGCCCCCAUCUCUCGAUCCGGGCAGCACAGGGGGCAGAGGGAAGCAUGGAGGACAGAGGGCAGCACAGAGGGCAGAGGGCAGCAUGGAGGGAAGGGGGCAGCAUGGAAGGAAGGGUUAGCAUGGAGGACAGAGGGCAGCAUGGAGGACAGAGGGCAGCACGGAGGACAGAGGGCAGCACGGAGGACAGAGGGCAGCACAGAGGGCAGAGGGCAGCAUGGUGGACAGAGGGCAGCAUGGAGGACAGAGGGUAGCAUGGGGGGAAGGGGGCAGGGUGAGGAGAGGCUUGAUUCCCCCUCUGGCUGUCCCAGCUUCUGCUGGUGCUGCGCCUGGCUUCCUGGGGACCCGAGAGCCUCUGCCCGCCUCUGCUCUCCUGCCCGCUCCCGCCUCCCUGGCUGGUCCUCUGCCUGUGGUCCCCGCCUGGCUCAGCUCUGCCCUGUGCUGCAGCACCCUGGUUCAGCAGCAGGAGCCCGUCCCGGCUCUGCCCUGCCUGAGGCAGCAACUGCUGUUCUGGGCUCUGCUAGCAAGGCUUCGAGUUUCCUUCAGGGUGGGAAAUGUGAAAUGUGAAGAGGCUUAGUAAACCUGCAUGACGUGUUUCCACUUACACAGACGUAGCACGUUGGAGAGGUUGGGAGUGCGGCCCAGUGGUGAGCACCUGUCUGCUGGGCCGGACCCUGGGUUCAGUCCUUAGCCACACACAGAGGCUCACACACCCACACGCACACACACACACACAUGCACACACCCACAUGCACACACACACAUGCACACACGUGCAUGCACACACACGCACACACGCACACAUGCACACACACACGCACACGCACACACUAUUAAUGCUCAUCGUCUAUGUGCUGUUAUGAGGACUUUCCCUCCUCUCCCUGUGCUGCCAAGUGGCACGGACACAGCCCUCCAGCCACACCCCCUCCAUUGGCACUUGUGACCUCCUGCCAGCAGAGCCAGCUCUGGAUGGGGGCACUGGCAGAUGCCCACGGCAGACCCCUCCUCCCGAAUCUUCCGUGUGUGGACUGGUAGAGAAGGCCAUCGAGAAACAGGAAGCAUAACGCAAUGACUCCAGUCACGGUGGACAUCACCACGUGCUACAGGAGCGUCUGAUGCAGACUGUUGCCUGGUUUGUACUGGGACCCACAGAAGAGCUUGUGGGCGGCAUCGGAUUCACUCAUUGACGAGGAGCAUCCUCUGAGUGUCUGCACUGUGGUUUAUGCUCCCUGAUCCCAGGAACACAAGUAGGAGGGAAGGCCUUGGAAAUUUUCAAAAUCUAACUGGGAUACAGAAAAGUGAAAAAAAGACUCACAAGUAUCCAAGACUUGUGUUCAACUCAUUGUUAUCCUGUAUUUCCAAGAAAAUGGAGAAUUCUAGGAAAAGCUCCACUGUUGUAGAACUGAAGAAUGGAAUGUUGGGGCUGGACUCACUGAGGACUUCUCCCGAGGCCAUCUAGCCAUGUGUCUGCCACCUCAGAUGGACACAGCUGCACUUGAGGAUUUUCUUUCAAUUCCCUCCCUCAGCUUAUGAGAGUUCCCCCUCGAGAUGAUAGACAUGCUGCAAUAUGCUAUUUCUAAUAAAACUGAUCAUGUAAAAUAAAUGGAGUAGUUACAAAUUUAACAGGGCAAAGAGGACUCAAUGACCUCAUCCUAGCAAAAAUAAAUAUUUUUACUUUAGGCCUCCACAUAAAUCCAUAUCUUUUAAAACUUUUUCUAUUUUAUCUGUUCUAAUUAGUUGUACCUGACAGUAGAAUACAUUUAUGCAUUUUGAUAGAUCAUGCAUAAAUGGAGGGUCAGCUCUCAUUUUUCUGAGGAUCCCAUUGCAGAUCCCAUGGGUCAUGCGGUCACACAUGUGCAUGAGGUGAUAAUGUCUGUUCACUCUACUGUCAUUCCUUCCCCCACACCCUUCCCCUCCCUUCACUCCCCUCCACCUAAUAUAAAGUAACUAUUCUUCCCUACCCACCUUGUGUCCACUAAU